rnacentral:lncRNA from 1 species
CCUGCUGCUGAUACCUCUACCCUUGGUUAGACACAAUUCCAGCAGGGCAGGACCACUUGCCCUGAGGAGAAGAGCCCAGGGACUCGUCACAGGCAGGGAACCACUGCCUCUUCUAUCCUGCCUGGAGCAUAACGGCGGUCCAAUGAGUAGACAGGUGGACUCACCACUCAGAUACUCUGCUGUGGCCAACGUGGGGAAGACUGAAUGAUGGAGAGCCUGUUAUACAAACCACAGGGGAACACUUGCCAUUGUUUCUGCUAUUGUCCCACAGUUGUUUAAGAUGGAAGCAGGAGCCCCUGGAAGCUUUCAGAGAAGAAGCUAGCCAGAAACUCACAAGCCCUUUCCUUGAGAAGCUCUGGCCCCAUCACUGCGGAGUGCUGGCCAUGCUCCCUGGUCACUGCCCAUGGGACGGCCAGCUCCCGGGCAGGUGGUGCUAAGCAGGUUGGCGGGUGUUACCCCUCCCAGUCUCCUCAAGAUUAGAAUCUGUUCCAGGCCACCAGACAGAGCUCCCUGCCAACGCUCUCACUAGAACUGUUCCUGGAUGUGCUUCGAGAGCUGUGGCCAAGCUCUUGUGACAACACCUCCUGGAAUAACAAAGGGAUCCUUUGUGGGCAAUCGGCUCCAGCUAACAGCUUGCGGAUGGCUGGACUCCCUCUGGCAUUUUCUUUUCAAGACAGCCGCCCCCCCAUUCCCAUCCAUUCAGCUCAAGACAAUCUGAGAUCGUACACAGAUAAUUGGGCCAUUUGUUCAACCUGAAGAGAUGAAUGUUCUCCAUGUUAGGGAAGAUGGUCACCAGCAAUCCAACUGGCAACAUUGCAGCUCUGGAAAUGAAGGCAGCUCCACGGUCUCUUCCCCCAUCCCUUGAUUACCCGUGUGGCCACAGGGUGGGGUACAGUGACUAGAGAGUCCACUAGAAUGCCAUGAUUGGAGUGAGGGUACAGCAGUUCCCCAAAGUGGGGCAAUUGAGGUGGCCCUGAAGAGGAAAAAACAACAGACAUCCAGGAGAAAAUCACUGGAGCUUGAGGGGCCUCUAGGAGGACACAUUCUGACCUGGAGACCUGGAGGGCUCCCGUGAGAGGAACAACUGAAAUCUCCAACAACCACAGGCUGAGGAGCUUGGGCUGGGCAGGUUUACAAAGACCACUGCCUCAGAAAGGACCGCGAGCGGUUGAUCUGCAGGCUCUGAGCAUGAGGCAGCAGCAAAUGGACCCUCACUGGGGACACCCAGAGGCCAGGUCCCGUGCAGGACCAGGAGUCAGCAGCCAACCCCUGCUCAUCUGCUGGGGGUCCGUGGUCCGCUAAGCGGCCCCACAGAGGGCCCUCUCCCAUCAGGCUGGCUCUGGGAUGACUGGGUGGUGGCCCUCACAGCAGUAGCUAACAUUCUGGGAACCAGACUCCCUGGGCACUGCCCCACUGCCUCCUGCCAACAGUGCUGUUAUGUGGAUUUUAGGCUUUAGAAUCAGAAACAGGCCCUAAAUUAAGCACAGAAAGAGAGAAAGGGUGGGAGGGAAAGAGAAGAGGAGAGACUGAGGAGAUAAAGGGAGGCAGAGAGAGAAAGUGUUGGAAGGACACGGGACAGUUGAAGGAAAAGACGAACAGCCGCUUUCGGGAUAGACUGGGGCAGGACCAAAGCCUGCUGCUCUGCCGACCCAGGACCAACCCCCUUCAGUCCCUGUGACUGCCCCGGAAGUCCAGUUCCCAGGACUAACGCGGGCCGGUACCUGCCCCUGGGAUCAGGGAUCAGGUUCUGUGAUUGACCACCCCACCAUGCGGAGCUGAGGAGGGGCCACUAACUCAAAGGAAGGGUGAGAAGGAGGGAAGUAUAUUUUGGACAGACAAAACCAGCAGCUCUCAGGCACCACUAGCUCCAUUUUCCAGGUGAGGAGACAGGCUUAGGGAGGGGGCAGGACUUGUCAACAUCACAGUGACAGUGAGUGACAGGACUUCAGCCCAACUAGCUUGACUGCAGUACCACAUCUUAAUCACUGUGUUUGCUCCCCACCCAAUCACGAUGGGUGCCUGGUGGGGACACCUCAUUUGAUCACAAAUCGUAAUUUAACAAAAUAACACAGUGGUUAAGAGUUUGGGGACCUGUUAGAAGGUCACUACAGUCAAACAGGCAAGAGAGGAAAGGACUAGCCUGUCCCAAGACAGUAGAUACGAUGACAGGAGGACAUGAAUCAGUAGAUGCCAGAGAGUGUGAGAAGAAAUCUGUCACGAUUGAGAACUCACAGGACUGGGAAGGGAGGAAGGAGUGGGGUCUACAUUGGCCUCAGGCUUCUGGUUUGGGCAGUGGGUGGAUGGAACUGUCCUUCACUGAGGUGCAAAGCCCAGGAGGAGGAAGCGGUGGCAGUGGAGGUGGGAGAGAGAGGAGUUUCAUUUUGGAAAUGUUGGAUUUGAGGUGCCUGCAGGACACCCAAGUGGAAACGCCCAGUGUUCAGUGGGUCCGUGGGGUGUGGAGCAUGGGAGAGAGCCAUAGGUGGAGCUGGUAUUCCCCCAAUGGCGUGGUAUAGUAUGAGGCUGGCAAAGGCCUGAGGACGGAGCCUGGGCAUCAUGGCAUUUAGGGGCAGGGAAGCCUUCUCAAGUGAGAAAGCAUCAGUAGCUCAUUCUUUCCUUGCAUGAGUCUGAUUCUGUCUGCCUCUUCCUUCCCUGUCUACUCCCCCAACUUUGCCUUACCCAGGUAAGUCAUUGUUUUUUUUUUUUUUUAGAUGAGUUUCACUAUUGUCACUCAGGCUGGAGUACAAUGGCUCAA